GUCUCUUAAAAGCUUCAUGUCACCUCACAUUAACUGGAAACAAUAUAGAGAUUAGUAUGGACCCUGGUGCAAGGAUGACACGCACUAUCAAAAAGCAUUCACGCUUUUC
ensembl:snRNA U6 U6 spliceosomal RNA